rnacentral:Y_RNA from 1 species
GGCUGGUCUGAAGGUAGUGAGUUAUCUCACUUGAUUGUGUACAGUCAGUUACAUACAGAUUGAACUCCUCCUACUACUUUCCCCUUUCUCACUACUGCCCUAGACUAGUCAAAA